CGCGAUGAUAUGCAUGCACCGAGUCAUCCUCGCGGAAGUCGCACGAGCGGCGGUCGCCGUCGCCGCGGAGUCGCUCGGGCCGCAGCUGCUCGACCACCCAGAGCGCGCCGCGGGUGCGCGGGUCGUAGCACAGGGAGUUGGCGGAACCCGGACAGGACCCCAGGUCUGUCAGACUCCGAGACGGAGAUCUCCUGAUCAGUUCACCACAGAACAACCAAGACUUCUAGAUUGCCAACGAUUUCCUUAUUACCUGGCGUGAGGAGCAAGGACGCAGGCAGCAGUGGCCAGCUGCUGGACGAACGGAAACUUGGUACAGAGAUUCCAGAAGGCAGCUUUCAUAGUGUGUGUGAAAAGCUUCCAAAGGGUUCAUAUCUUCAACCCACCUAGAGGACUGAGCUGGGGAAAUAAGCUGAGAACGCAAGGAGUUGAAACACAUCCUCAGCGCAGUACGGCUUAUGAUAGAGGCUGCGAUGGCAAAUGUCAAAAUAGGAACUAGUUAAGGGUAUUUUUUUCUUUUUUGUACUUAAAACAGAAUUCAGGCCCUUAAAUAUUUUAAAGUCAUACAGUAACUUUCUCACCACCUAAGGUGAGGGAAGAACAAUACACAAACACGAUAAGUCAAGAAAAUAAUAAUUAUGCAAUAAAAAUCUACGUUUCAAGUAUUUUCUUUAGAUUGUAGGAUGGGGGCAGGGCAUGUCUUAUUACCUACUUUUGAAUUUCCAAGUUUUUUGUAACUUGCUAAAAUAUAAUUGUAUAUAUUGCAA